rnacentral:lncRNA from 1 species
ACACACACACACACACACACACACACACACACACACACACACACACACGAAAUUUGCACCCUUUAGAGUGGUACUAUUAAGUUACUCAUCGUUUAGGAACUAGCUGAAAUGCCACUCUAGUGUACACACAAAUGUAUGAAAAUAAGAUAUGUAGAAGCACAUAGAGUUGUACGUGAUGCUGUAUGUCUUGUAUGUAUGUAUAGUGUCGUCCACUCUUUUGUUGGUGACCAUCAUUGUCGUCACUGUUGCUAUCCAGACUACCUUCAGAUUUCGGUACAAGUUAUUGGAAUUUUCAAGGGUAUGUUCAUUAUACUAGUAAUAUUUAUUUAACAAAGAUUCCACAUCAAGAAUCAUAAACGUCAUGUCUCUAGCCUUUAAAGAUAUUCGUCACGAGAGUGCAAAGUUUUUCAAAACACCAACCAGUAUUCAUGAAGAGGCAUCAGACUCAGAACACUGAACUUAGCUGUGAAUCCUAUGUUUGUACUUUACUCUCGCACCAUUCUGUUUGUGCAAUACUGCAAUUGAAAACAUUGAGCUGCCGCGCUGUUGCAUCUCGUUUAAACCAGUAUUGUUUGUGUAAAAGGCUACCCUGGAUGUCUUCCGUGUGUUUUAGACUCUGGUAUUGGUCCAGCUGUGGAAGAGGUGGCUUUUAUUAAACUCAGUCUACCUUCAACGUUGUAUUGCAAAGAAGUGAAGAAAACUGACUCUGGUUUUAGGCGUAACUAUUAUAGGAGCUCAUUUUCUUCGGCGUGCGAUGGAGGCAGCUCGAUAAGGCUUCUGUACACCUUUGCCAUUCCUCCAAGAAGGAAGCUUCGCUGUCAUGCGUCUUCCCGAGUGCCUCAUUUGUUUCUAAGUUGAUGAUUUAUCGGCGAUGGGGAGGAGGAAGGGGAGGUAGCAGUACAUUUACUAAUAGACACCUGCUGCCGGAUAGCACGGCGUCAACACCUGCCUCGUGUGGCGGGUGGCCAGGUGGUCACACCGAGACAGGUCGUAAAAGAAGGGCUGGGAAAGGCAGCCCUUACACGUUCACAACUUUUUAUUCAAAACCAUCAUGUUUAUUUAGACUUUUUUUUGUUAAGCCUUUUCGUGUACCUAGAAUAUAGCUUCUUCAGAGUGAGGACGCAGACACGCGUCUGCUAAUGAUUAAGAGGUGUCAUUUGUCUUGUUUCUGUCUGCAGAAGUAUAAUUUUAUGUACAAGUUGUCGCGAGUCAGCUCUCAAGAAGUGCCUGCUGCCGGUUGUUAGCGGAGAAGUGCAUCUCGAAUAUCUGUUGUAAAACAAAUGUCACGAAACUAACGAACCUGUUAUUCGUCCCUAGCGUAGCAACUAUUGUGUGUGUGUGUGUGUGUGUGUGUGUGUGUGUGUGUGUGUGUGUGUGUGUGUGUAAAUAUAGUUGCUGUCUCUUCACUUAACAUCUCAAUAACGUCGAUGCCACAUUCCUCGUUGCCACCUUUGCAUAGGAGCGACAGCAGGGCUUCCUCCUUCACGUAUCGUCCCGUCAUACAACGAGAAGCGCCAAGAACCUAGCAGGCCUGCUUGAUAGUGGUGGUGGUGAGCCGAUGAAGCACUUCUGGUACCAUCAGUCUUAUUAACUAAUAGGAGUGUCCUCCUGUAAGUGCACGUGAACAGCUUGGGACAGAGAGAGAGAGAGAGAGAGAGAGACGGUGGGUGGGGGAGAUGUCACUGUUGUAGGGGACGCGGUGGUGCCAAGCCGGUGUAGUGGGAUGCCGACAGAGUUGGCAGGAGUAAAGUGUUCAGGUUUGCACGAGGCCACACAGUCCCCAGGCCCCAACCCGCUGUCUUUGCCGUUGCCUCGAGCCCCCACGUGGCUGUGAUGCCCUGAGAUGCUCUCUGAUCACAUGACGCCUGCUGUCUGACUCUCUCCUGUGCACGUGUGUGUGUGUGUUAGCGGGUAGCAAGUCGCGAGAGAGUACAGUUAGCGAUAUCCUGCACGUUACUCUGCCACACAUGGAAUAAUGAACGGGGGCGAGACGUCGUGUUAGCUGCAGCGGCUGGCGUUGGCAGGGUGAGGCGGGGGUGAAGGGGUACCUGGCGUGGUGAUGAGUGUGUAACGAAAAGAGGAUUAGGAGCAAACGAUUAAAGCAAAUGUUCUUAAAUGCAUGAUGUUCUUUGAGGCUUAUGAAUUUUUCGUCAGUCCUCCUCCUCCUCCUCCACCUCCUCCUCCUCCACCUCCUCCUCCUC